GGUUAAGCGACUAAGCGUACACGGUGGAUGCCCUGGCAGUCAGAGGCGAUGAAGGACGUGCUAAUCUGCGAUAAGCGUCGGUAAGGUGAUAUGAACCGUUAUAACCGGCGAUUUCCGAAUGGGGAAACCCAGUGUGAUUCGUCACACUAUCAUUAACUGAAUCCAUAGGUUAAUGAGGCGAACCGGGGGAACUGAAACAUCUAAGUACCCCGAGGAAAAGAAAUCAACCGAGAUUCCCCCAGUAGCGGCGAGCGAACGGGGAGCAGCCCAGAGCCUGAAUCAGUGUGUGUGUUAGUGGAAGCGUCUGGAAAGGCGCGCGAUACAGGGUGACAGCCCCGUACACAAAA
rnacentral:rRNA from 1 species